UUCAGGAAACCAGUGGAUCCUCAGUAAACUGCUGAAUGCAGGGGGUGACCUUCGACUCCAUGAUGAGAAAGGUCGGAACGCAGAGGCCUGGGCUUUGGCAGCAGGAAAGGGUCGUAACACCCAGAUGGUGGAGUUCAUGCAGCGCUGCACUUCACACAUGAAGGCUAUCAUCCAAGGCUUCUCCUAUGACCUCCUAAAGAAGAUAGACUCCCCUCAGCGCCUCAUCUGCAGCCCACCCGAGUUUGGUAGCCUCAUCCAGGGGAGUCCAAAUAGUUCUCCUAACCGACAGCUGAAACCUGGAAUCAUUUCUGCCCAAAAUAUCUACAGCUUUGGC